UUACGAGAGUUUGAUCCUGGCUCAGGAUGAACGCUGGCGGCGUGCUUAACACAUGCAAGUCGAGCGAAGCACUUACUUUGGAUUUCUUCGGAAUGACGAGGUAUUUGACUGA
rnacentral:rRNA from 1 species